CUCAUUAGACGGUGAAAGUCACUAGUGGGUCUCACUACUUCAUUUAGGAGGUCCACUUAUUAGCUUUAAUAAUUUUGAAAAUAAUUUUAAAUUUUGUAAAAUGUUAUCAUCAGAACCUAGUUUUCAUACAGACUAUACUUAUUAAAUAAAUAACAAAUAAUUUAAUCAACUUAUACUAUAAAUUUAUUUAUUUUUUUCCUUUGGUAGCAUAACUCAUUAGUUUUUCAUUAAAUAAUUUCAGAAAUAUCAACAUCAGUCAUUUCCUCUCCUAUAUAUACAACCCCUUUGGAACUCAACUAUUUACACAACAAAGAAGAACCAUUACUUUAAUUCCCUGUUUUUGGCUACCACCCAACCUAAAUACAUGGAGAAGGCUUCUCUCAAGAUCGUUUUCUUUGUCUUCCUCUUGCUCACUGCAUCUGGAGUUGAAGGAGGUUUUUUUUCAAGAUGUAACAAAACCGAGGACUGCAGCCAUGCUAUUUUGAUUUGUCCAGGUUCUACCAUAUGUGUGAAUCAUCAUUGCGUCUGCCCUUCUCCUAAACAAGUCGCCAACCUGCAAGGAGGUUCUUUUUUUAAAUGUAACAAAACUGAGGACUGCAGCCAUAUUAUGUCGAUUUGCCCAGGUUUUACCAUCUGUUGGAAUCAUCUAUGCGUCUGCCCUCCCUAAACAAGUCGCCAACCUGCAAGAGGCCGGACAAGAAGUGAAUUUAUAAGAUGAUAUAUAUAUAUAUAUAUAUAUAUAUAUAUAUAUAUAUAUAUAUAGUUCUUGUGCUGCUAUGGAAUAAAGGUUACUGUCAAACCUAUGAUGAAAUCAAUUAAUCAGUAGUAAAACAGGUGGUUUUACAAAAUUUCACUUUGAUAUUUUGUUAUAGAUCUCAUGAUGUUAAUUGUAUUUGAUCAUGGCUUUAAUUCCUAGUUC